ACAGUGUCUCUCUACGGUAGCCCGUUUGAACGGUCUUGACUAAUACUGUAUCUUACUGCAUGAUCAACAAGAUGCAGACGUGUAUAUCUAAGUGAAUAGAUAAAGGAAAGUUAAACAAACUAAGGAGAAGAAACAAAUAUUACAGAGCAAAUAUAUGUAGACGAAUAAGUAGGAAGAAAAACAUUUAAAAGUUAAUGCUUAUGAUGGUAGUGUGGGGCGAUAAAUGAUGGCGAUGUUAUCGAUGGUGGCGAUUUCGAUAGUAAUAGCUGUUAUCAUUAAAUAGGGAUGGCUUAAGACAGAAAGCAUUACUGCUGCUGCUGCUACUACUACUACUACGACUACUACUAAUACGACUAUUACGACGACGAUGAUGACGCCGUCGUCGACGACGAUAACGACGACCAUGCUGCAAAUGCUGCAGUUGCGUCAGCAGCCGUCUCUGCUGCUGCUCAUGUAUCUGUUAAGCAGGACUGUUAAUGAACGGGCGUAUAUGCUGAAAGGGAGCAGAGGAACAUAGCAGAGACAUUCUUUAAAUAUCGUGCGAUUUUUGGCGGAAUGGAAAGAAAAAAGUAAAAAUCAAAAGGACUUGCUAAUUCUUUUACCCAUAUACCCUGCCAUCCAUUGAUCAAAUAAUCGAUUAUUAGUUGGAGUCAUUGAUAUAACAGUCGAUAGAAUACGUCAACCGAUCAAAGCAUUUAUUGCUUCAUCGAUUCAUUCAUUCAUCCAUCAACCAAUCCAUGAAUCCGAUCGUUCAUUUAUAUUAGAUACUCAACUUCUUGUGUCCAUGUGUAUAUAUGAAUAUGUAUACAUGGUUCUUGAUAAAAAAACGUUUACGUGCGAUUCUAGUGAGAAGCGAAGUGAUGUGCCUAUAUGCAUAUACAUAUGAACAAUCAUUUAGACUGUGCAUGUGAAUAUAUACUUGCAUGAGAUAAGCAGAUGCAUAAAUACAUACAUACAUAUCUAAGAAAAAAAAAAUACCUGCGCACUGUGUAUAUGCUUGUGUGCAUAUAUGUAUUCACGUAUGUGUGGGUACUCACAUACCCGCGUCAACACACGUAUAUACAUACAGAGACAAAGUCAUGCAUCAGUACAGUUGUCUAGAUGGUAUACUACAGAGGAUGUGUAUCCGCCCAUUUCCACUUACAAGGGAAGCUCUAAAGCUGUGAAUCUCUAAUCAAUUUCAAUCGAUGAGCAAAACUAAAUUACUGAUGCGCAUAAUACGACGACGUCUCGAAUUUUAUGACGAAACUUCUUGAUGGAAAAGAAAAAAGAACAAAAAAAAAAAAGAAAAAAUUGCCAAAAUUUACAAAAAAAAACAUCACCGAAUGAAUAUACUAGACACACUACAAAAAGGAUGUUAUUCAAAUAUUUAGUACUAACAAUUAGACAUCAUUCACAAGCAGGAAGAUGUGGUGACUAUAAACGGACUCAAAGGAUGAGGAAGUUUUGCUCUGUCAUCGUUAACUUUGCCAACAUGUGGAGAGUUAACUAAUGCUAUCAACACCGCCUGGUAUUCCCAAAAGAUGAGAAAAGAGAAAAAUAUGAAAGUCUCUCUUUCUGACGGUAGCGAGGAGAUGCGAGUUUGACGUCCACAACGUCGCGUGUUAAUGCAGCGCCCAGACCCUGUAUCACCAAAUCUACUUCACUACCAGAAAAAUGGACGCCAUAUUGCUACAACCAGAAACGGACUCACCAUAUACGAGACAGACAGACGAGAAGAACAUAAAAGAAACAAUAUCCAACAGUGAAUGAGAAAUUCUUGGUUUUAUUAUUCAUAUUAAUGAUGUGUGGUUUGAUUUGAAAACGUCCGGCAACAUUAAAUCUUGAUGACGAAAAAAUAAAAAAAUGAAAGAAAGCAAGCUACUUGCAUAACAAGGUCAGUCACUGUGAUAAUAAUGACGGUUAUGAAAUCACGCACACACACACAGAAACAUUACUGGAACAUAAAAUGAAAAUUAGGUGGAAUGAAAAGCUCUUAACUUGAAUUUGCUUAGUGUUAAAACGAAGAGAUAAUUGUAGCCCCCGACUUGCGAUUCAAUGUAAUUUCGCCUCCCGUCUUACUACCAUAUUCAAGCAAGUGUGCAUAAAUACAUAUAUAUAUAUACCAACAACAGUUGUCGGCCAUGUAGGAGUUCUCUGCAAAGGUAAGUCGUAUACGUCUCUAUCACUCAUUCUGUGGCAAGGUCACAUAUUUUAGGCGUUCUAUUAGUUACAAUACCAAUGGCAUCAAAUAAUACUCUCCUUCCUCUUCUUCUUCUUCUUCUUCUUCUUCUUCUUCUUCUUCUUCUACUACUACUACUACUACUACUACUACUACUACUUCUACUACUACUACUACUACUACUACUACUACUACUACUACUACUACUACUACUACUACUACUUUUCUUUUUCCUUUUCUCUUGACAAUCUCCAUUUCGAUCUAUAUAUCACUUCCAGUUACAACAAGUAGCUACGUAGUUUAUUUAAUGGUGAUGGUCUGUUCUGGAAGCUGUUGGAACCUUGUAUUUUACUACUACUCGUCGUGGUUGUACCAGCCGAAUCGGUAAGGUAAUAAUCGCAGCAUUAAUAGUAAUAGAUUGCGGUUCUUCAGUGGAUUUCGAAGGCAAUAACAUCAUCUGUAGUAAUAGCAGUGGUAGAUGUUGUUGUAGUUGUUGUUGUUGUUGUACUAGUAGUGACAAUAGCGAUGACAACUAUACAGGAGUAAUAAGCAGUCUCAGUAGUGGAAGCGAAUGCCAGGAGCUGUUAAUGUUAACCAAAUCAGCAACAUUAGUUUCUGUAUUAUUGGUUAUUAAUAUUGGUUAAGAAGAAUGGGAUUCAAUAAAAUUGCCAAGUCAGCCAACGUUGCACGAUGUUGAUAUAGUAGUAGCAGUUGUAGUAGUAGUAGUAGUAGUAGUAGUAGUAGUAGUAGUAGUAGUAGUAGUAGCAGAAGAAGAAGGAGAAGAAGAAGAAGAAGAAGAAGAAGAAGAAGAAGAAUCGGGUAUCAUACGCUGCUGUAACUAGCCACAUGCAGGGGGUAUAGGCGGAUAAAGAGAGGGAGAGUCAGAAGAGAAAUAUGCGGUAGAAAAGAGAAUAGAAAUGUUUGGAAGUGAGAUAAGGAUAAGCAUGUAGGUGUUGCAUUUCAGGUGUUUUGAAUAAAACAUCUUGAAUACGAAAUAACCAUAUUUUUUCACGUUGUUUUUUUGGAUGCGGUCACACACUGUGAAGUUUGAGAUUUAUGAAUACUUAACAACAGUCGUAACGAUUACGAAAACAUAAACGUUAGGAAAUUAACAGUGGCAAUGGUAACUAACUUACAUAACGACAAAUAAUAAUAAUAGUAAUAAUAAUAAUAAUAAUAAUAAUAAUAAUAAUAAUAAUAAUAAUAAUAAUUGAACAGCUACAAAAAGAUUUCCGCAUCUGAUGGCAACAACACCACUAAGGAUAACGAAAUAACAAAACAUAAAGGAUAAACGAAAACAGCAAAAUCAACAACAACAGUGGCAGAAAUAAUAGGAGUAUCACCAACAGUAACAAAAUAACAAAUAAUAUCUUAACAACCGUGGGAUUCAGAAAAUAACUCAAGUAAAGUGACAAUCAAUUACUGCCUGGCAGUUAUGGGCGGGGAAUGGUUGUGGUUGCUAUACUGAGUGUCUCAAUAUUCUGAAUUUGGUACAUAGACUCGUCUCCCCCCCCUCUCUCUCUCUCUCUCUCUCUCUCUCUCUCUAUCUCUAUCUCUCUCUAUCUCUAUCUCUCUCUCUCUCUAUCUCUCUCGUUCCUUCUCCCCCCUCACCUUUCUGUUUAACGAUAAUAACUUCAGCAAACUGAUACCCUGUUGGAUGUCAGACAACCUGUGAUACAACUAUUCUAAUGCUUGACAACCAAUUAUAAGACAAAUCUAAGGUACCAAUUAUGCUGUUGUAAAUCCUUUGACUAUAGCACCACAAUCUCAGUCUAAAAUGUUGUUUCCUUUGAACACUGCCAAGUACAUUGGCUGGUAUGUUUGAGCAAUGAUUGUCAGUUUGAUCUGAAAUCUAUAAGAUUUGGGGAGAAAAGUGUUCUUUUCUGGUCAGAAAGUUUGGUUCAGGCCUCAGUACUAAGAUGUUGAUGAAUUGCGCUGCAAACUUAGCUGGUGACAGCUCAGUUAAAAUAAAUCGGGUUUGUAGGACUGAUUAUUGAAUAAUUUGUCUUGAGUAAAUCCAAUGCAAGAAUGUUGUGAACCACUGAUUGGUACAUUCGAAACAUGUAACCAAAGAUGUAUCUUUUCAUAAAUUGCAAUAUAAAAAAAUAUUAAUAUAAACAUUAAAAAAAAAACUUGAGAACCGACCGAACCGAUUUUCGUCUUUGAAAAAUCCAUGGCGAAUGAUUCCAGUUUUCUUCCUAACUUUAUCCGUCUAAUAGUUUCGUAUUUAUAUAUGUAUCUACAGUAAAAAUCUUAAUUUAGGCGUCCACUUCAAGGUCAUAGUCUACACCAAGUUGCAAUCAUUACUAUACCGAUUAUUUUGGGGGUACCUGACUCCAUUAUAAAGUAUGUAGAUUUUGUGUGAACAUGUAUGUAUUUAUGUGGAAAGAAUAGUGUUUAGUCGUUUGUUUGCAUCGUGAAAAAUUACCUGGUAGUCAUCAGUUCAGAACACGUAAUGCUUGUGCUGAUGCUAUUUUUAGUACACACAAAAGGCGGUGAGCUGGUAGAAUCGUUAGCACGCCGGGCGAAAUGCUUAGCGGUAUUUCUUCUGUUUAUACGUUCUGAAGUUCAAAUUCCGCCGAGGUCGACUUUGCCUUUCAUCCUUUCGGGGUCGAUGAAUUAAGUACCAGUUGCGUACUGUGUAGAUCUA